UAUCGCCACCCAUUCACGCUCCAACUCCAUUCCCACUCCAUUCGAACGUUGCCAGCAGCCUCAUCCCUCGAACUCUUCUCCUCCGGUAGAAGGUGCUGUCGCCGCCGGCGGAGACAGACCGUGGGUGCCUUCAUCAUCUGGGAAGCUCUACUAGACCCUCUUCGCAUCGUUCCUCCUCUCCUCGCCGUCGCACGAAGUUCUGAGUUGAGCUCGUGGUGUCGCCGUCGCGAAGGGUUCCUCCCCUCCUUGCCGUGCUUGAUCUGCGCUUUUGCCUCUUAUUUCCAUUUCUCAAAGGUAGUAGUUGCUGCCUGUAUUGGCUUUGAUGUUUGUGCAAAGGAGUUGACGAUUGACCAGCCUUGAAGUUUGGUAAAUGUGGUAAUUCAUAUCUUCAAAAUUUGCUUCAGAGCAAAGCUGAUGCUUUUGAGUAUGCUGAUCAAGUUUUGGAGCGUUGGUAUCCUUCCAUAGAAGAAGGCAACAACAAGGGUAUUGUGGUUCUUGUCACAAGCCAGAAGGAAGGAGCAAUCACCGGUGGCCCGGCUUUUGUCCAAGCUGUUGGAGAAAAGGUUCUUGAUGCUACUGUCUCUGAGAACCCUCCAGGUUGCUUCUCUUAGAGAAGGUGUAUCCUUAGAAACCAAACUUCUGAGAAGGUAAGCUAGCUUGUGUGCUAUUUAUGUAGGAAGGAAGCUGCUUUGCGACAAAGAGAGGUAUGCCAGAAGAAUGGAUAUUAAUCAUAUUAUAUGUGGCAGAAAUAUGAACUGAGGAAAUCACAGCCCUUCGUGGAAUACUCAAUUAUAUUGAGAGACAGAAUUUUAUGGAAUACUCAAUUUUUUUAUUUAUUUAUUGUCACAGGCUGUUCUCAAGGCUGGCAAACAAACACAGGAUGGGAGAGAUGAGGAAAUCACAGCCCUUCGUGUGGAAAUUCAAAGUGCUUUUGUUGGUGGUAAAGCCUCAGAAGGAGUUUUUGUUGGUGCUUUCCUUUCUAUGUCUUCAACAGCAGUGGUCUUGAAGUUUUUGAUGGACAAGAACACUAUUAAUGCCCUUCAUGGACAAGUCACUAUUGGGACCCUUAUUUUGCAGUAUAACGCAUAGAGGGAGAAAAGGGGAAGACGAGAGACUGAGAAACAGGGGAAGAGGGAGUAAGAGAGCACGAGAUGCAGAGGGAAGAGGGGAAGGAGGGAGCAGUGCCGGUGGGUGUCACUGCCACCGUCGCUGCUGUUGCUAUCGAGUAGAAGAGGGAGGGAGGCUGUCGCACUUCUAGCCGCCGCUGCUGAAGCUCCCCUCACCACUGUCAACGUCGGUUAGGGCAGAGGAGAAGAGGAAGAAUAACGGAGAAGAGAGACUGACGGGGAGGGUAAUACCGUUGCUGUUGAUUUGGAGCUGCUACAAGAACGGCGGUUCCUGCUUCUAAUCCCUGUCCUUUUGAUUUUUGGAGCUGCAGUGGAUGGAGCUUGUCAUCGGAGAAAGCAAGCUGCCGCCACCAACUCUCAAUUAAGCUAGGAUCCUUCUCCUUGUUCUGAUUUUAAUUUCCCCAUUUUUGAAACCGUAACACUCUCACCCUUACUCUGAUUAUACUUUGUUUCUCUUUCAUGUGCUUGUUUUAAUCAUGGUUGCCUAUAUUUUUUUUGCUCAACCCCUUUUUGGCUCCUAUUUCCUGCUACAAUUAGGUCGAGUAUUGAAGCUGGUGUUGCCAUGGGACGGUUGAAGCCAUUACUGAUUCUGAUUUUGUUAUCUGGGUACUGGUCUUGUCUUCUCCUUAGGGUUGAUCCAUUUACACGUUUUGUUUUGUCACUGCUGUGGUUGCCAUGUUCUGGUUUUAAUUCUAUUUUAGUUCUUGCUUUGUCUUGAAUCCCUAGAGCUGAAAUUGCUUGUGAUUCUUAUCCAAUUUGAAUCCUCUAUUUUAUUGCAACCAUGGUCAGUGCUGCGAAGGCUAAUAUUGUUUCUGUUCCGGUUGCGUGAGAGUUACCGCUGCUGCCCUGAAACUAAAAGAGAAGAGAGUUGUUACGUUAUAGUAUGCGAUUGCGACAUCGAGUUUGAAGCAGAGAUAGACUGCCUCAAUCGGAUAUACAUUCGGCGGCGGCAUGUUCGAGAUGAAUGAAGUGAAGGGUGACAGUCCGUACGGUGCCCGAACUUAUGCUGGUGAUGAUGGAUCAAGACAACCAACUAAACUUGAGUUGGAGCAAGCAUUUCACCAAGGCAAGAAUGAAGCUCAAGAAAGAAUGAAGCUAUCCAUUAAAUCAGACCAAGAUUGGACAGAACGGGCCAAAUCGGUCCAACCGGACCCAAAGUGGGCCCUUGGCCCAACUAAACUAAACCAAAACCCUAGUUUU